UACGUAGGGUGCGAGCGUUAAUCGGAAUUACUGGGCGUAAAGCGUGCGCAGGCGGUUUUGUAAGCCAGGUGUGAAAUCCCCGGGCUCAACCUGGGAAUGGCAUUUGGGACUGCAAGGCUGGAGUGCGGCAGAGGAGACUGGAAUUCCUGGUGUAGCAGUGAAAUGCGUAGAUAUUAGGAGGAAUACCGAUGGCGAAGGCAGGUCUCUGGGCUGACACUGACGCUCAUGCACGAAAGCGUGGGGAGCAAACAGG
rnacentral:rRNA from 1 species